rnacentral:rRNA from 1 species
UACGUAGGUGGCAAGCGUUACUCGGAAUUACUAGGCGUAAAGCGCAGGUAGGUGGUUGGGUCAGUCCUUAAUGAAAUCUCCCGGCUUAACUGGGAGGGGUUUGAGGAUACUGCCCGACUCGAGUGUGGCAGAGGGUGCUGGAAUUCCCGGUGUAGCGGUGAAAUGCGUAGAGAUCGGGAGGAACACCAAUGGCGAAAGCAGGCACCUGGGCCAAUACUGACGCUGAGCUGCGAAAGCUAGGGGAGCAAACAGG